UACACUCCUACGGGAGGCAGCAGUGGGGAAUUUUGGACAAUGGGCGAAAGCCUGAUCCAGCAAUGCCGCGUGAGUGAAGAAGGCCUUCGGGUUGUAAAGCUCUUUUGUCAGGGAAGAAACGGUGAAAGCUAAUAUCUUUUGCUAAUGACGGUACCUGAAGAAUAAGCACCGGCUAACUACGUGCCAGCAGCCGCGGUAAUACGUAGGGUGCAAGCGUUAAUCGGAAUUACUGGGCGUAAAGCGUGCGCAGGCGGUUUUGUAAGUCUGAUGUGAAAUCCCCGGGCUCAACCUGGGAAUUGCAUUGGAGACUGCAAGGCUAGAAUCUGGCAGAGGGGGGUAGAAUUCCACGUGUAGCAGUGAAAUGCGUAGAUAUGUGGAGGAACACCGAUGGCGAAGGCAGCCCCCUGGGUCAAGAUGGACGCUCAUGCACGAAAGCGUGGGGAGCAAACAGGAUUAGAUACCCCGGUAGUCCCAUG
rnacentral:rRNA from 1 species